rnacentral:tRNA from 1 species
AAAGUUGUUAUUAGGUUACUGCUAAUUACUUAUAGUUAGUUUACUCUAACCGGCUUUU